AAUCAAGUGCCUUAAGGGUGUUCGGUGGAUGCCUUGGCGCUGAGAGGCGAUGAAGGACGUGCUACGCUGCGAUAAGCCGUGGGGAGCUGCGAAGAAGCUUUGAUCCAUGGAUUUCCGAAUGGGGAAACCCACCUUCGAUAGCCGGAACUCCAAGACCUUUGUCGAAAGACAUCGGUGUGGGGUUCGAUCAGAAAUGAGAGAUGCCUGGACCUUUAGAUUUCGAUCGAAGAGGUUUUGGAUUUCCGGUUAUCAAGAGAAGGUAUGAGACUUCUGAAUACAUAGGAGGUUUCAAGCAAACCCAGGGAACUGAAACAUCUAAGUACCUGGAGGAAAGGACAUCAACAGAGACUCCGUUAGUAGUGGCGAGCGAACGCGGACCAGGCC
rnacentral:rRNA from 1 species